rnacentral:rRNA from 1 species
UGGGGAAUUUUGCGCAAUGGGCGAAAGCCUGACGCAGCGACGCCGCGUGGAGGAUGAAGGUCUUCGGAUUGUAAACUCCUUUUGUAGGGAAAGAUAAUGACGGUACCCUGCGAAUAAGCCACGGCUAACCCUGUGCCAGCAGCCGCGGUAAGACAGAGGUGGCAAGCGUUGUUCGGAAUUACUGGGCUUAAAGGGCGCGUAGGUGUCCUGGCAAGUCAGAUGUGGAAUCUUUCUGCUUAACGGAAAAAUUGCAUUUGAAACUGCCGGGAUUGAGUCAGACAGGGGAUGGCGGAAUUCCUGGUGUAGCGGUGAAAUGCGUAGAUAUCAGGAGGAAGGCCUGUGGUGAAGACGGCCAUCUGGGUCUGAACUGACACUGAGGCGCGAAAGCGUGGGUAGCAAACAGGAUUAGAUACCCUGGUAGUCCACGCCCUAAACGGUGGGUACUAGGUGUGGGGCUCGCAAGGGUUCCGUGCCGAAGGGAAACCAUUAAGUACCCCGCCUGGGGAGUACGGCCGCAAGGUUG